UUUGUCAUUCAACACUUGUUAUCCAAGAAGAUUGAAAACAUUCCUACAUACACCAUGGCAAAAAUCUUCAACGUAUUCUUUAUUCUAUGUGUGAUCUGCUAUGUAGUGCAAGCUACACCUUUACCGAACUGUGGAAACGGCGGCUGCGGGCGCCACGACUUAGUCAAUGUAGACUUGGGCGCGAUUUUGGGUUCGCACGAUAACAAUGGUUGUAAUGGCUGCAAUGGCAACAAUUGUGGAGGUCAUUGUAAUUAGCACUCAUAAAAUUAAUAUUUUCAACAUAUAAAUUA